GGGAAUACUGAUAAGAAUCAAUUGUUCUAUAUAGUUUUCCUCCGCUCAACCUACAUUAGCAGCACAUAACUCGUCAUAAGGAUGAAGCACCAAACUAGCUCAUAAAAAUUACUCUACAAGGUAAAUUGAAGCCAAUGUCUUUGAAGCACAUGCUGGUCUAGUGCAAGAUUUAUCUUAACACCUCAAGUGUUGUAUUUUGCACAUGGUGUAUUAACCAGGAAUUAAAAUUUACAAAUGAAACAAAAACUCAAGAACCAUGAUCACAAGUUCACAACUGAGAGCAGACAUAUUGUUAAGAAUGAAAUAAUCCAUCCACCCAAUUCAAUUCAGUGGACAUAUCUACAGAUCCCACCUAGUCUCACUUAACGGGAGUUCAAAUAUGAUUCUCAAAUCUCAACCACAACAAGAAUCCAUGGUAACUCAGAAGUCAGAACAGAGGAACUGGCCAGACGUUCAGAACUAAGCAACCGCUCUCCAAGCAACUCAACCCUGACGGUUAGCAGAGCGGCNNNNN
rnacentral:lncRNA from 1 species